UACAUACAACACGAACUGCCCCAGACUUUUAUCUUUUCAAUUCGACUUCCUCUAAUCCUCUGAUUCCUCUCAAUCCUCUGUUUCGGUGUUCGGUGAAUCCAGAAUCCAGGGCCUUCACUCCAGUCUCUAGGCUUCCAGGUUCCAGAGUCCAAACAAUCGGGCUUCCAGGGACUAGCGCCAACGAACGAGAAAUCGAAAUCGAACGCAAAAAACCCCAAUUUAUCCGCCUCCCGUAGACUCGUACGUCGGAUUCCCUUUUUAUAUCUUAUCAGGUCCUUUGUUUUGGUUCUUUAAGGAAUGCCCAUAUCCAGAUGAAAAUCAGACGCGUCAAUUGAGCAGGGAGCUAGCACUUGAUCCCAAACAGAUAAAGUUUUGGUUUCAAAAUAAAAGAACUCAGGCGAAGGUUGAUUGUUGAAUUCAUACACUUGGAAUAUUUGAGAAUCUGGAAUACUUUAAUUUGAACUCUGAAUCAGGUUCUACCGUUAUUUGCUUUAAUUAUGUUCACUAGAAAAUUUGAAUCUAGAUAUUCUAAAAGAAAACAGUAUAAGAAGGUUGAAUGAUUGAUUAAAUUUCAAGAGGGAGCCCUUGAUAAAAUUUUUAGUGGUAGUAAACAAAAACAUAAUGAUGAUGUAGUUCCCGAAGAAGAGUUUAAUAAGAAUGAUAUCAGCGAUAAUACAAUUGAAAAAUAUCAUUGUCUCGUGAAUGAAGAAAUAUCUAUCGAGGAUGAUGUUAUGGAUGAAAGAAACAUCAAUGAAAAGAUUAGUGAACCAUUCUCCUUUGAUAUUAUUGAUCCAGCGAAUUGGAAAAAUAUAAAUCAAAGUUUGAGAGAUUUAAUCGUAAUGAAAGGUCUAGUAAGAGAUAAUGACGUAAUUUUUCCAAAAGAUGUAGCUAAUCGACACUUCUCCUCUGUUCAUUACACUUGAUGAUUACCCAAUGGAGAGAAUCAUGAUAGAAAAUGGUUGAUAUAUUCAAAAAGUCUAAAUAAAAUAUUUUGUUUUUAUUGUGAGCUAUUCAAGAAUGAUGGGGUUCAAACUCAAUUGGCACGUGAUGGUGCAAAUGAUUGGAAAAAUAUUGGUGAAAAACUAAGAACACAUGAAGUGAGUUAUGACCAUUUCACUAACUUGAGUAGAUGGAUCGAAAUGAAAAUAAGAUUUCAAAAGGAACAAAAAAUUGAUAAAAGUGUGCAGGAACAAAUCAAUAAGGAUAGAGAACAUUGGAGACAAGUAUUGUUGAGAAUAAUAUCCGUGGUUAGAACUCUUGCAGAAAAAAAUUUGGAGGUUCGUGGAGAUAAUGAGAAGAUAUACCGAGAAAAUAAUGGUAUCUUCUUAAACUUAAUUCAAAUGAUUGUUGAGUUUGAUCCUGUAAUGCAAGAGCAUAUUCGUCGAAUUCAGAAUGAGUUGAUACUUAUGCUAGCGGGUGAGAUCAAGAAAAUAAUCAUCGAGAAACUCAAAGAAUCCAAGUACUUUUCUGUGAUACUUGAUGCACUCCAGAUUUGAGUCACGAAGAACAAAUGUCUAUAGUAUUGAGGUGUGUUGAUAUUUUAGCAAGCCCAGUGAAGGCAGAAGAAUUCUUUUAGGAUUUUUAUUGGUGGAUGAUACAUUUGGAAAGGGACUUUUUGAUGAAUUAGUGAAUGAGUUGAAUAAUCUAGUGCUUGAUAUCGAUAAUAUAAGGGGUCAAAGAUAUGAUAAUGGUGCUAACAUGAGAGGAAAAUAUAAAGGGGUACAGAAUAGACUACUACAAGUAAAUCCUAGAGCAUUUUACACUCCUUGUGAGUGUCAUAGUCUCAAUCUUUCACUUUGUGAUAUGGCUACUUGUUGUACAAAAGCUAAAUCUUUCUUUGGAGUGGGGCAACGUAUAUACACUCUAUUUUCAUCAUUUACUAAAAGAUGGAAAUUUUUUAAAGAUAAUAUAAAUGACCUUACUCUUAAGCUUUUGUCUCAAACACGUUGGGAAAGUCAUGUUGAAAGUAUUAGAGCAAUAAGAUUUCAAGCUCCACAAAUAAGAAAUCUCUACUUGAAUUGACAAGAGUUGAUGAUCCUAAGACAAAAAGUGAGGCGGAGUGUUUGGCAAUAUAUGAAAUAGAGAAUUUUGAAUUCUUACUUGGGAUUGUUAUUUGGUAUGAAGUGUUGAAUAAUGUUAAUAGAGUAAGCAAACAUUUGCAAACAGAGGACAUCCAUAUUGAUGUUGCUAUAGACCAUUUAAAAAGGUUCAUUUCAUUUUUCAAAAGCUAUAGAGAAACUGGGUUGAAUCAGCCGUGAUUGAUGCUAAAGAAAUUGUAAGUGAAUUAGACAUUGGACUGAUAUUUCGUGAAAAAAGAGUUACACGUAGAAAGAAGCAGUUUGAUGAGAUUUCUUGUGAAGAGAUGACAGAAACAGCUGAAAAAUCUCUCAGGGUCAAUUAUUUCUUAUAUGUAGUAAAUCAAGCUCUAUCAUCACUUCAAAAUAUAUUUGAACAAUUUCAGGAAUAUGUCGAUAUUUUUAGAUUUUUAUUUGAUUUGGAAAAAUUUAAAUCCAUUGAUGAUGCUACAUUGAAGUGUCGUUGCAUUAAUCUUGAAAAUUAUUUGAAGCAUAACACAAUAUCUGAUAUCGAUGGAAUGGAAUUAUUUUUUGAGUUGAAAGUUUUAAGAGAAGUAAUAUCUACAGAAAUGAAUGGAGCAGCUGAUGUGUUAGAUUACAUUAAGAGAAUGAAUUGUUGUUUUGCAAAUGCUUGGAUUGCUUACAGGAUAUUAUUGACUAUCACAGUCACUGUUGUGUUCGCUGAAAGAAGUUUUUCAAAGUUAAAAUUGAUUAAGUCUUAUCUUCGAUCAACCAUGUCACAAGAGAGGUUGAAUGGAUUAGCUAUGAUUUCUAUUGAAAAAAAAUGUUGGAAAAACUUGAUUUGAGUUGUUUGAUUACUAAUUUUACAUCUCAAAACUUGAGAAGACUAAAUACGAUGCGAGCUUAAUCUCUCAGAUUGUAAGUGAUAUUUUAUUUAGCAAUUCCAUCUUUUAGAUUGUACAAAGUUUUCAUUUAAAUAUAGAUAUUUUUUUAUUUAAAUAUUGUUAUACGUGUAGAAAAACAAAGUAUGGGGCCUCAAGAUUGCCAACUCGCUUAGGGUCUUCGAAUUGUCAGGGCCGACUCUAUGGAUUUGUAUAAUUCAUUUAAUUCAAUAAAUGAUAGAUAAUGGUUCUAUGGUUGAAUGGCCAAAAAUGCCGCCAAUGUGUGUCUUACCAUGAAUUUGAACAAGUACAAUUGCAUGAAAAAAAAAAUUAUCUCAUGGAGGAAAUUGUAUGUUCCUUUGGUUGGACCCAUAUGGUUAAAUGGGUAAUAUUUUGAUGGCAAAUUAUUUUAAAAUAAAAUUGUUUGUCUAAUUAUUGGGAUAUGUAAAUAUUUUAUAGAGCACAAAUGGUGUCUGUAGUUAAUAGUGGUGCCAGAUAUCCUUGGGUAUAAUGACUGUAAAAUGACAUUUUGUUAAGGAUAAAAAUCAUGUUAUGCAAAAAUUGUGAAGAAUAUUAUAAAAUAUUCUAAGAUCAAUUGAAAUGAAAAUGUGUCUUUUCGUAUAAAUAAUCAUGACAUUUGGUAUGAUUAUUUUCCAAUGGGUGUGUCUCUUAAUAGAAAUUAAUUCAAGAGGUCUGUCUUUUUGUAGGGUUGUAUCUCUUGAGAACACAACUUUUCAACCUAUGGUUGAUUCGUUCAUUUAAAUCUGAAUAUGGUGAAUAUGUACCUUAUUAUUUGAUAUGAAAUGAAACUAUCAUGUGAAACGUCACAAAUGUGAUCAGAAAAGUUGUAAUUCUUGUGAAUCAAGAUGCUUAGCCCUCUUCACUGUUGAAAUUGACUUCAAUCGUGAGAUCAAUUAAAUUAGUUUAUGCUUGGAAUGCAUCACUGGUCUAUAUGAUGGCAUUGAUUUAAUUUGGAUGAUCCAAUGAAGAUAAUUGGAUAGAACUAUGAUAAUUGUGAAUCGACGACCACUAUUUUGAAAGUACUUAGAGUUUCACUUAGAACUCGACAAGGAUAUUAACUAAGAGAUAAAUGAAUUGAACUAUGAAAGAAUUGCUGAAUCCUAAGUUCAAUUGUAACCCAAAGAUGUGGGGAGCUAUCAUAAAUGCUCGUGAACUUGAAUGACAAGUUCAAAACUUGUGGAUGCAACAUUACUAGAUUGCAUAUGUAUUCUUAAUUGAGGAAUUAUAGGGGUAACUCAGUUUAGCAAUUACAUUUGCUUCAAUCUUAUAAUCAUAGAAAGAUAUCUAUGAAGGAGGAAAGAUAUAAAACCCUUACACUAAAUAUAAGGAUGAUAUACACUAAGUUUAAAGUGGAUUAAAUGGGUGGAAGUUAAUUAUGGCAUUUGUUUGGACAUGCAAGAACAAAUUGGAAUAUUUGAAGAAUAUUCAUAAAAUUCAAAUGCAUGGUAAUGUCUCAAUACCCAUUGUAAAGCCCUGAAAAAUUUUAUAGAAUAGAAUUAAUUGUUUUAAAUUCUCAUUUCUUUGAGUCAAAUAAUUAGAUUUAAUGGAGCAAGUUUUAGUAUACCAAUAUUAGACUCUUUUUGUAACUUGUAAUUAAUUAGAAAUUUUUAACCAAAAAAAAAAAGGUUAAUCAAAAUAGUUAGGCCCAAAAAUAUAGAGUUCAAAGAAUGUCCUUUAUUAUAAAAUUAACUAAGUUGACCUUUUUGGAAUUCAUUAGUUGUCAAACACGUGUGCCUUUAUAAAAUUGAAUGAUUGAGUAACUUUAGGCCAUUUUACAGCAAUUGAGUGUCCAUAUAUAUUGUGAUAGAAGAAUUUUAGGUGGCUCACGUGGAUAUUUACAUGGAAUGAUUAUUCUAUACCUUAAAUAAGAACAUUAAAUUGGAAUUAAUAGAGGGAUGAUAUUUUUUUUUUACCGGACAAAAUACACUUAUAGACACGGCAAUAGAGAUAAGGCUUUGGGAACGUGAAGUAAUUGCUAUUCUUCCAACAAUUCUUCUUAUCCAUCGAGGUAGGAUUUCGAGGUGCAAGUGGUUUGUCCCGUUUAAUCUUAUUAUUUCUUGUUGAUAAAUAUUAUGCUAAUGAACUUUACACAUUAUGAUAUGAUAUAUGAUAAUGACAACCCGGUAUAAAUGAUAUGAUAUGAGCUCUUACCGGAGUCUAAAGAUAUGAUAUGACGGUAUGAUUAUUUUGACGCAUGAAUUGAUAUUUUUAUUCGGGAUUGCACGAUACUCAUGUCCUAUUGAGUAUUCCCACAUACUCACCCAUUUUCCCUACUCCUCACAGGUUAGAAUGGGUCGUUAGUUGGCGGGCGAUAUGGUGCGGUCAUUGUGCCAAGGUUUAUGAAACUCAAUAAAUAAAUUCCGGUGUAACGUGACUAAACAUUUUAUUUCCAGCAAUAAUCUUAGUGGUGUUUAUUUACAAACCACUUUCAUUUUUAAUGAAUUAGACAAUUUAUUUGAUUUGAUCUAUAGUACAUAUUAUCGUGAACCAAUUUCUUGUACACUUAGGCUAAUAUAUAAAUUACAACCUGUUUUAAUUUUGAUUUCUCAUAUUCAAUUAGUACCCUGCAUGUGAUUUAACUAUUGGUUGAAUUCGAUAAAAUUAAGUAGCUAAUUAAAAUUAUCCACUAAUUAGAGGAAACAUAGUGUUAGGGACCAUUGUAUCAAUUAUGCCAGAGAAAUUGAAAAAAAUCUUCAUUUGCCUGCCACUUACGCCAAAUCCAUAAAAUUAUUUUUAAAAUUAUUUUUUUUACCAAUUAUGAUCCCAGUGUUUAAAUUAUAAAUUAGUUACGGGUAUUAUGCUUCAUUGGACUAAGUCACCGAAAUUGCAUAUUUGUAUAUAUGUUGUUGUUGGAAUUCCUCAGUUACACAUAAAAUUGAAUUCUAGGAUUUAUUUAAGAAUUUGAGAUAUAUCCAAACAUGUAAGAACAUAUUAUGGUUUUGGGAAAAGUCUUCAUUUUUAAGAGAAUAAAUAAUUAUGAGAUUUGAAAAAUUUCUCUACAGUAAAUUUUAGUAAACUAUUGUCACAUGAUGUUAUACAUUGCAUGCGAUGCGGGUUUUAAAUUCCUUUCCUUUAAUAAGAAAAUUUUGGUUGCGAUCUAAACUCAAAUAAAAUAAAAUAAAAAACAAAAAUAUUUGAGUCGUUACAGUUUGGUAUCAGAGCCCAGAGUUAUAAAAUCGAUUCUGCAGACUCUAAAAAUAUAAUUUUACAUUAAAAGGGAUAGAGUAUCGAGUUCUUGUCACAAUGACCUACUAAAUUACUCACUUUUCCUACAUAUUUGUGUCGGAAUCGUAACGAUUGCACCGGAUUGGAUUCUGGAAAUUGUGAGUUGAAAUAAGGUAUGAGAUUUUAAUGUUAUUUUACUGAAUUGUUGAAUUUGAAUUCAACGCAAUCAUUAUAUUUUAAUUGAUUAACAUUAAAAUAAUGAUUUUAUAUUUCAAACUAUGUCCAGGAAAUCUUUCUUUUUGUCUGUGUGCAUAUUCAUGUUUACAUAUAUAAUAGUGUAUGCACGUGUCUUGAUGUGUGUGUUAACAUAAAAAGGCGUGUGUGCACUAUAUAAUGUAUUUUAAAAAAAAAAAUUAAAAAUUUAAUCAAAUAUUUUGACUGUUUGACAUUUGAUUAGGACUUUACGUACAAUAUUCUGUAUGCUAAGAAUGAUAAAUAGUUUGCCGAUUUCUCUAAAAAAAAAAAAACAAAAAUUAUGUUUAGUAAUUAUUUUAUCUAUUAAACGUUGAUUGAUGCAUGCAUUUUUUUUUUUAGUAUGUGUCAUUUACCUUAACGGGUUGGUUAAUGAUUUAGUCAUAUGUAAAAUUGUUUCUAAAUAAAUGUAAGAUAUAAUUGUAGACUUCUACUGAUUUAGGAAUUCAAGUAUAUAUGUCCUAGGAACAUGAUGUCAAAUUUUAGAUAAUCUUUCAUGCAUCCAGUCAAAUAUUAUCUUUUUAGAAUCAUAUAUGAUUAGUUGUUUUUGCGACCCUCAAGAUUGUUUUAGUAGCUAAGAUAUUAUUAAUAUGAUUUUAUUUCCGCAGUAUACAAAAUGAAUUUAUUCAACAGAUAUUGUAAGCAUAUGACUGUGGAUUACACUACGAAUUAUAAUUUUUCAUGGAUUGGUUUAAAAAAAAA